GGUUGGACGGGUGUAUAUCCGUUUUCAAGCAUUGGCUUUCGGGGCGGGAAGCU
rnacentral:ncRNA from 2 species